AUGUUACAGGUGGUAUGGUGGGCGUGGUCCAAGCAGUAUAAAAGCGGAAGCUGCAAACUUUCUUAAAAGGUGUCAGUUUCCAUGGGACGCCAGGACGUAUCUGGAUUCAACACGUUGUAGAUUUGUCAAGAAUGUGGGAGGCCCUGCAGGUUUUUUAGACCAGGCUGUGUAUACAGGCAGAUGAGGGUGGUGUACGCGAUACAGAGAUGUUUUUUGUUGCUCCUGCUGUCCUUAGGUUUAUGUUUUGUUUCUUUUAGUUAGUCCGACCCUGUUUGAUGUCUUUGGUCCUGUUGUUUACUUGUGAGGGCGGACUAACUGUUUUGUUUUUUUAUCUUUUUUUCAUUGAACUGUUUGUUUUCUCCUUGUUCACUCUCCCACGAGGCUGUGAGCUGGUAGACAAUGUUAUAUUGCAUCUGAUUGU